rnacentral:tRNA from 1 species
GCCCAAGUGGUGGAAUUGGUAGACACGCUAUCUUGAGGGGGUAGUGGGGAUCCCCGUGACGGUUCGAAUCCGUCCUUGGGCACCA